CAGUAGCCACAAGAAUACAGAGGGUGCAAGCGUUAAUCGGAAUUACUGGGCGUAAAGCGCGCGUAGGUGGUUUGUUAAGUUGGAUGUGAAAGCCCCGGGCUCAACCUGGGAACUGCAUCCAAAACUGGCAAGCUAGAGUACGGUAGAGGGUGGUGGAAUUUCCUGUGUAGCGGUGAAAUGCGUAGAUAUAGGAAGGAACACCAGUGGCGAAGGCGACCACCUGGACUGAUACUGACACUGAGGUGCGAAAGCGUGGGGAGCAAACAGGAUUAGAUACCCCUGUAGUCCCUGUCUCUUAUAC
rnacentral:rRNA from 1 species